rnacentral:tRNA from 1 species
AGAAUAGUAGUUAAUUAUAACGUUUGAAUUGCAAUCAGAAAGUACUUUCUUGAAGUCUAUUUUA